UCAUCUCAUCCCUCUCUCAUGUGUUUUGAUUUAGGAAUUCAGAACCGUAUGCCACAACAAUGGAGCCAGCCAUGGGAGUACUUCGAGUUGCUGAACCUUGUCGCCUCCGACCAACAGCAGGAACAGAACGGAAUCCCGCUGCACCCAUGGAGCUCCCUCGUCUGGACCGCCACGAGCCCCGCUGUCACCGGGAAUGGAGCAGGUGCUCCCGGAUCUGCCCAUCCCGCUGGCGCCCCGCUGAAGCUAGGAGCCAACCCAUGGCCGCCCAGACCUGCAUCCUCGAUCUGGCACACAGAGCAUCCCUGUUUGUGUUACAGUUUUCUUAGAUUCGCGCCAUGGUAUGUUCAUUUCAUCCUAAACCCAUGCUUUGUCAUAAGUUGCUUGCUAGUGGAGCUGGUCAUUCCCGUGUGCAAUCCUCCGAGAGGUGCAGAGUUCGAAUCCCAUGUCACCCAUUA